AUUGGACGCUGGCGGAAUGCUUUACACAUGCAAGUCGAGCGGCAGCGCGGGGGCAACCCUGGCGGCGAGCGGCGAACGGGUGAGUAACAUAUCGGAACGUACCCCGUCGUGGGGGAUAACACAGCGAAAGCUGUGCUAAUACCGCAUACGACCUGAGGGUGAAAGCGGGGGAUCGCAAGACCUCGCGCGAUGGUAGCGGCCGAUAUCGGAUUAGCUUGUUGGUGUGGUAAAGGCUCACCAAGGCGACGAUCCGUAGCUGGUCUGAGAGGACGACCAGCCACACUGGAACUGAGACACGGUCCAGACUCCUACGGGAGGCAGCAGUGGGGAAUUUUGGACAAUGGGGGCAACCCUGAUCCAGCCAUUCCGCGUGAGUGAAGAAGGCCUUCGGGUUGGUUAAAGGACUCUUUCUAGCAGGAACGAAACGGUA
rnacentral:rRNA from 1 species